rnacentral:rRNA from 1 species
AACGAACGCUGGCGGCGCGUUUUAAGCAUGCAAGUCGAACGGUAGACGGGCUUCGGCUCGUUGAGAGUGGCGAACGGGUGAGUAACGCGUGGGUAACCUGCCCUAUGGAAAGGAAUAGCCUCGGGAAACUGGGAGUAAUGCCUUAUAAGAUACAUUUGUCGCAUGGCAGAAGUAUUAAACGCUCCGGUGCCAUAGGAUGGACCCGCGUCCCAUUAGCUAGUUGGUGAGAUAACAGCCCACCAAGGCGACGAUGGGUAACCGGUCUGAGAGGGCGAACGGUCACACUGGAACUGAGACACGGUCCAGACUCCUACGGGAGGCUG